rnacentral:rRNA from 1 species
GCUUGUCUCAAAGAUUAAGCCAUGCAUGUCUUAGUGUAAAUAACUCUUAUGAAACUGCGAAUGGCUCAUUAAAUCAGUUAUCAAAUACGUGAUGGUCGCCUACUACAUGGAUAACCGUAGUAAUUCUAGAGCUAAUACAUGCACAAAGGCCCAUUCACGUGGGUUGUGAUUAUUAGAUUCAAACCGGCCUCGUUCUGGUGAGUCAUAAUAACUGUUCGAAUCGCAUGCUUCGGCAGGCGAUAGUUCAUUCAAAUUUCUGCCCUAUCAGCUUUCGACGGUAGUGUAGUGGACUACCGUGGCGUUAACGGGUAACGGAGAAUUAGGGUUCGAUUCCGGAGAGGGAGCCUGAGAAAUGGCUACCACAUCCAAGGAAGGCAGCAGG